CUUCACACUAUCCUCCAGUAAAAAAAAAUCAAAUUGAUCAAAUAUUUACAUGUUUACAAAUGAAAUAAUUUAAUAGUAUAAGACAGCAUAGAUUCAUUUUAUAUUAUCUCAUGUAGGUAAGACUUCUUUAAUCAUAACUCAAUACAUAAGCCAUAAAAGACUGACAAAUUCAAAUUUAUAAAAACGGUGUGCUUGACAAUAACAUGUUUUUAAAAUCAUAACCGAAGUAAGUGACCAAUGAAAAUGUUGGAAAUUGUAUCUGCAGCUCAGACAACUGAAAAAGGACUAAUCUGCUUAUAGAUGGAGAGCUAACAGAAGUGGAGAGACAAAGACCUGUCCACGAGAAGUCUCAUGCCCCUUCCUUCACUCUGACACCUCCUUAACAUGCUCCUGAAAUGUCAGCAUCAUGAGACAUGAGCUACACAAUGAUGCAGUAUGGGAAUUAAGAGAAUCUGGAAUUGUGGAGCAGACUUCGCAAGGCUUCUCUGACCUCUGCCUCCCGCUCUGGGAUCUGUGAAACACACUGGGCUCUUCUUCUAGACCUCCCUUUUUGAAGCUCCUCCAAAGACCGUUUCAUCAUCUCUACUCAACAGUCUCCUCAGGAAAUUGCCUCUUCAGUAGGCAAAUGUCACUUGCCACAAACUUAUCUUUGGCAUGAGGAUAAGACAGUGCUAAGGUAGAACUGUCUGUACCUUCUUUGGGUUUACAUUGUGAUAACUGCAAGGAGAAAAAUAAAUUGGGCUGAGUGGAUAGAAAA
rnacentral:lncRNA from 1 species